rnacentral:rRNA from 1 species
AUUGAACGCUGGCGGCAUGCCUUACACAUGCAAGUCGAACGGUAACAGGUCUUCGGAUGCUGACGAGUGGCGAACGGGUGAGUAAUACAUCGGAACGUGCCUAGUAGUGGGGGAUAACUACUCGAAAGAGUGGCUAAUACCGCAUGAGAUCUACGGAUGAAAGCAGGGGAUCGCAAGACCUUGUGCUACUAGAGCGGCCGAUGGCAGAUUAGGUAGUGGGUGGGAUAAAAGCUUACCAAGCCGACGAUCUGUAGCGGGUCUGAGAGGACGAUCAGCCACACUGGGACUGAGACACGGCCCAGACUCCUACGGGAGGCAGCAGUGGGGAAUUUUGGACAAUGGGCGCAAGCCUGAUCCAGCAAUGCCGCGUGCAGGAUGAAGGCCUUCGGGUUGUAAACUGCUUUUGUACGGAACGAAAAGCCCUGGGUUAAUACCCUGGGGUCAUGACGGUACCGUAAGAAUAAGCACCGGCUAACUACGUGCCAGCAGCCGCCGUAAGAC